rnacentral:rRNA from 1 species
UGCCAGCAGCCGCGGUAAUACGGAGGGUCCGAGCGUUAUCCGGAAUUAUUGGGUUUAAAGGGUCCGUAGGCGGGCAGCUAAGUCAGAGGUGAAAGUUUGCAGCUCAACUGUAAAAUUGCCUUUGAUACUGGUUGUCUUGAGUUAUGGUGAAGUUGGCGGAAUAUGUAGUGUAGCGGUGAAAUGCAUAGAUAUUACAUAGAACACCGAUUGCGAAGGCAGCUGACUAACCAUAUACUGACGCUGAUGGACGAAAGCGUGGGGAGCGAACAGGAUUAGAUA